rnacentral:rRNA from 1 species
UGGGGAAUAUUGGGCAAUGCCCGAAAGGGUGACCCAGCAACGCCGCGUGGAGGAUGAAUGCCGUAAGGUUGUAAACUCCUGUUAGAGGGGAAGAAAAAUCUCGAUCAAAUCGGGAACUGACUGUACCCUCAGAGAAAGCCCCGGCUAACUACGUGCCAGCAGCCGCGGUAAUACGUAGGGGGCAAGCGUUGUCCGGAUUCACUGGGUGUAAAGGGCGCGCAGGCGGGUUAGCAAGUCAGAGGUGAAAUCCUACAGCUUAACUGUAGAACUGCCUUUGAGACUGCUAAUCUUGAGUACGGAAGAGAGAGAUGGAAUUCCAGGUGUAGUGGUGAAAUACGUAGAUAUCUGGAAGAACACCAGUGGCGAAGGCGGUCUCUUGGUCCUAUACUGACGCUAAGGCGCGAAAGCGUGGGGAGCAAACAGGAUUAGAUACCCACGUAGUCCCUGAGCGGGCUGGCAAGGCGCAU